rnacentral:lncRNA from 1 species
UGCGCGAAUGCCAUUCAUUAUACAGGUCAAAGUUUAAAUGGAUAUUUACAUCCGGUGGUCAUACACACGUGCAAUUAUAUAUGAAGAGCUACUUUCAGUUUUACCUGUCAGCUUAAACUGUCAAAGGUUACAGACCAGGAAGGAUCCUCUCCUUAUUCAUUGUUUCAUCGUAGCUUAAGGAAGCCAUCAUGUUCAAGAAGCCAUUUCAUGUCAAGUCCAAUGCGGCGAUGAAAGGAUCUGACAAGCGUAAGAUGAAGACCUCUGUGCUGCAGCAGUUCAGUGAGAUCACCUCUGUCCAGGUGGACUCCAUCUUCCCUAACAAAUCCCAGACGACCACCAUGAAGAUACAAACACAUACAGGGGAACAUAUGAUGGUCUACUGUGCAGAUGGAGUGCCGGCUUUUUUUGAGAAUGAGAAAGUUCUUUAUCCUACUGUUUACACACUCUGGAAAUGUCCAUCAUUGCUGCCAUGUCUUAGUACAUACGCCCCUGUUAUAGAGAAGAUGGCUGGUGGAGCAGAUCUAAUGCUACCAGGUGUAGUCUUCGCAGAGACGGGACUUCCCCCUCUGGAGAAAUCACAACUAUGCAGUGUGAAUGUCGUUGGUAACUUGGCUCCAGUCGCCAUAGGAACAGCAUCUGUCUCCUCAGAAGAUAUGCUGGGUAGAGCAAUGAAAGGAAAAGGAGUACUCACUCUGCACUGUAUAGGGGAUCAUCUGUGGGAAAGCGGUGGUAAACUAAAACCACCGCAAAUCAACCCAAUCAGUCGAGACUCUCCACCUCCGGGUGAAAGUGCCAUCGCCGCCCAGAACUCUGCGGGAAGUAACAAUAAUAAUGAGAAUAUGGAAAGAACUGAAGGCUUAGAGAGCCAAAGUGCCAUUGAUGGUGGACAUGUAUGUGAAGGAAACGGAGAAGGAGGUGGUUUAAAGGAGGAUUUAGUUGGUCUGUCCCUGGAUGCAGGAGCAGUCGGAGGAGAGCCGGAACCGGUAGAAGAUGAAGGGGAUGGAGUCUCACCUGUAGACGCCAUGGAUGAAUGUCUCUACCAGUGUUUAUUGCAUAGCGUCAAGAAGAAAGUGAAGCCCUCAGACUUGCCUUUGCUGACUAGCUCAUUAUAUAGGAAUUAUAUGCAGACAUCCUGUCCAGAAGGGAAGACUCUGGAUCUGAAGAAGUCGAGCUACAAGAAGCUGUCCAAGUUCCUGCGCGCCAUGCAGGAGAGACGUCUCCUGGACGUGAGGGAGCUGAGCAAGGGUGUGGACAGCAUCACAGCGGUCUACAAAGACCAUGAUGAGCUAAGGUCCUUUGUACCUCUUGUUGAUUCUGGUGAUUCCGAUGAGCAGACGGAUGCAGCGUCGUCCAACCCAUCCUCCAGCUCAAAGGCACCCGAAGGACCACCAGAGAUCAGGCAGUUCUAUUCAGUCAUGCCCAACCAAGCACCAGUACUCCAACACAGUGGAUACAAGAGAGGUGAUUGGAUGACCAAGGAAGAUGUCAGGAAUGCCAUUACAGCUUACAUCAAGAAUGAGAGCUUAAUAGAUCAAAAUGACUACAGCCAUGUGAUGUUAGACCCUAUUCUCCAUGAUGCAGCCAUAAAGAAGUCGGAGGGUAGUGUCAGUCAUCUCAAAUGGGAUCAGCUUUUCACCAGAUUCUUGCACAAGAUGAAUCCUGGCUAUCAGAUACUCUUCCCCAGCGAUCUUUCUGCCAAAGUUCAACCUCGGAUUCACAAAGGCCAGGUCCAACCAAUCAUACUCAAAUUGGAACGAAAGGGAGGCAACAAAUGGAUCACAGUGAUCCAGAACUUGGAGCAGUUCAGUCUGGACCCCAAGGAGUUUGGCCAUCGGCUCCAGAUAGCUGUAGCAGCCAGUACUACAGUGGGUGAAGGCCCCAAUGCCAAGUCUGGCCUACAGGUGACAGUGCAGGGAAACCAACUCAAAUUCCUUGACAAAUUUCUCACAGGUCACUACAAGAUACCCAGGAGGUAUAUUGAUGGGCUAGAACAGACUGCCAAGGGCAAAGGAAAGGGCAAGAGAUGAUAGAGGCUAUCAUUCUAGGUUCAUAUUAUUUAAUUUACCGGCGAUAGUUAAUGUUAAAUGUCACAUUUGGCAUGCAUAUAAUGCAUUAAAGACGCAUAGUUGUAGGCUCUCAAGGGGAAUUUGACCCAUUCGGGAGUUUACCCAAUAAUAGGUGUUUUCAAUCACCAGUAUUAGGCUUCAGUUUUAUGACCAACAGGCCUUAUGUAAUGCUCUCUAUUUUCCACCUAUCGCCCUAAAUGGAAAAUUCAUUAUCUUACAAUUCCCUCUUGAUGGGACUACGGGUUUGCUGUGUGCAGACAGUGUACACUCAUUAAUGGUAUUUCCACCAAGUCUGGUGUCAGCGAAUUAUGACCUGCACAUGGAAAUUGCUGACCCUCUCCCUUUUAUUUUAGUAUUGUAAUAGAUUUAUGAACGUCUUGUUGGCCUUUCGAAGCUGGGAAAUCAGCAUUGGCUUAUAAAUGUUUUUAGAUGUGAAAAGUGACGGUGCUAUAUUUUUUCCGUAGUUUUUAAUUCUACAUUUUAAACUCUGUGCUUUUAAAGUCAGUGUUGUCCUAAAAAUUCAUUAUAAUUAGACAGUUUAGUCAUGUCAUAAAAGUACAAAACAAAACAAAAAUAUGUUAAAAUCUAAAGCAUACUUAAUAUAAACGGUAUACUGCUUUAAAUAUGAAGUUGAGUUCUGGUCAUGUGAUUGCAUUGUGAAAGAAAUGGUGUGGAAUCGACCAGAAAAGGUUGAUCA